UGAUUACAUAAUCAUAAAGAAUUAUGAAUUUAUAAUUUCAUACCAUAUAAUUUUAAAGAAUAAUGAAAACAAGUAUGAUUUAGUAGAAAAUCGUAUGUUAAUGAACCACGGGAAACUAUCAACCAAACAGGGGUUAGGGUUUCAUCGUUCAUGGUCUUCUUCAUUCACCAUUUCAUGUUCCUUCAUCUUCUUCUCUUUCAGUUUUGAAAUACUGCUGGUUGUUUUAGAUAUUUCCAUAGCUGUAUGCCCAACGAAACAUCGUUGACUGGAUAAUUUGUAGGAAGAUUUUCGUUUGGACGGUUCUAAAUUCUUGAAUUUCAGGCUUCUGAUUCUUUCUUUCUGCCGGAUCAAUUAUUGGUGUACAAAUAGAAAAAAUUUAGAAGAAUAGUAACUCUUUUUCCCCAUAGUGAUUACUGAUUACUGCAAUGUAUUUUCCUGCGAUCAUAAGUCGGCAUACUGUGGCCGAGAAUAAGCUAAUUCUUGUUUUUUUUAAUCCUUUGCAGGUUAUUGAUAAAUUUCAACUAUUCUAAUUUUGGAUUUCAGGGGUCCUGUUUCUUGAGUUUUGCAGGAUAUGUUGUUGAUAAAGAUGACAGUGGAGAUGAAUUGCAGAAAAGGAAACAAGAGUGAGAGAGUUUGGAGGAACAUAAACCAAAGUUAUGGUGGUGGUGGCAGUUAUUGUAAUCGCUUACACAAUUCUGGGUAAUAUUCCUUGGUUUUGCUUUUCUAAUUCUCAUUCUAUGGACCAUCUUAUGAUUUUCAUAUGUGGGUAUAUUCCUUGUAAAAACUCAAGGCUACUAAGUAUUGUUCCACCUGAAGCAUUGAUAGUUUUGAUUUGAAAUUGGAAAUUGUCCUGCAUAUUUGCCGUAAAAUUUUGUUACUUGCUAUGUUGAGUCGUUUUUCAUUUCCGCUAUGGAUGUGUUUGAAAGAGUUUCCUUUGUUGACCGAGGUUAAAACAUUCGAAACCUGUGAAAUAAUAAACAGUUCAAUCUGAAUGUUCAUUAUCCGCCUUAAGCCGACAUUAGCACUUCUCUAUCUCUCUUUUCUCCGGAUACAAAAGAAAACGUAAGCAUAUCUCAUGAGUUACAAGUCCUCCAUCUCUUCUCCAUUUGUGGGGUUGUUAUCAACGGCGUUUUUUGGGUUCCAGCAGGUAUAUUUCUUUGUCAAUUAAUUACGCCAUAUUACCAUCUAAUGCAAGAAGACCAAGCUUUUUCAGAAUAGGAUUGCAUUCUUCAAUUUUUCUGUUUGUACAUUGAGCCCUGUUUAUUGGCGACUGUAAAUAAUUGCUGAAUUGAUGGUGUUAUAAGUAGAAUAAAAAGAGAUUACAAGGUUGGUUAUGAGGUGAGACUGUUUUGUUUCUUACGAAUUAGUUGAUUGAUUAGUUUCGGGUUUAAUCUAAUUCGUCUGAUCCAAAGUUUCUUUUUUUAUUUGUUGAACAAUCACGUUAUGAGGUUUAAAUAAGAACUUUUUGGUGUUGGGAUUGAGUAAUUGAUUCUCUCCAAACCGGGUUUCAAUAGAGCACAACCAAUCGCUAGAAUAUCCUUGGUUUCUAUAGUUUUUCUUAGUCAGAUGGAUGCCCAUAUGAAACAAGAAGACAAAACAAUGAAACACUGUUUGCCAGGUAUGUGAUGAACUCCGUCCCAAUUUUCCCAAUUUAUGUAAAGACUUUAAGACAUCUCUACACAUAGAAUUGCAGUAGUGGAGGUAUUUAGCAGUCUACUUUGAUCUUUAUAUUCAAUAUGUAUAGUUCUUCAUUGUGUACUUUAGAGUACUUCUUGCUUUAUUUCUACUCUGUUGAAUUUCUAAGUUAAGAAAGGACAGGAGAGGCUUAGCAAAAAAGGGAAAGAAAUGGAGAUCAAGCAAAGGGGAAAACAGCAAAAGAACAACAUCGUGAAGUUACCUUGAAUCGGCAAAAUGGAUAGAGCAAACCUGAAAAGAGACUAAGAACUCUCUACACAACUAUGCCGCAAUAGGAACAAAUGACACGUGGAACCUCUACCUAUUGAUGCAUUAGCUUUCUUUCCUUUAAUAUCCCUUGCAAAGAGGACUUGAGAUUUACAAAAGUACUCUGUGAUGUAAAGUUGUGAACAAGAGUUGCUUAUCAUAUAGGAGCAUAUUCUUGCUUAGAUUAUCAGGAAACAUGACUUAAACAUGACUUUUCUGAUACUCUUUCACAGUCUCUUGGUUGAUGUUUGAGCUACAAGUCAACAUGACCUCUCUCAUCAGAAUUUUGUAGAUCAUUGAAAUACUUGAAGACUGCAAUAUGUUCAGCAGUAAAACUUCAAAAGCUUUUUACACUUGAAGUUGCCUCCUCUCAGUUGUUCAAUGACAAUAUUAUAUUUCAAAGAUUCAUGAUUAUCUCUUCAAUACAGAUUAACAUAGUAGUUCAAUUGCAAGUUGUUGGUUUAGCUGUUGCUUAAUUUACCACCUCUAUGUCGAGUCUACAGCUACUUCGAGCAUUGCAGGGAGAAAAUCGAAUAUACCACUGGAUAUAUGGGAAGAUGGAAAGCACUUUUGUUAUGGUUUAGUGCUGAGACAACUAUCAUGAUGAAAUAUUGCGUUCUUUCAAUUAUGUAUUAGACAUUUGAGUGUACCAUUGAUUUUGACCUUUUAUAUACAUUGAAUAGGGCUUCUUUUCAAA